ensembl:lncRNA
UGUGACAUUGCCAACCAUUCCGAAUGGAAUAAUCUGACGUAUUAAUAGUUCUCAAUAAAACCCUUUAAUUCUAAGAAAGUGUCAUAUGGUCUUGAACUCAGUCAAAACACUGCAGUAUGAAGGGCGAUAAUGAGUAGGCCUACGUUCAGUAGCUUUUUGAAAGCGACCACGCUGAGAUUGCUCCGCGAGCGGCCGCUUCUGUGUGCAGCUGGCCUGGUGAUCGGGACGGGUUCGGCAGUCUACUUUUAUAACAAAUAUUACGGCGUCGGUGAGGAUGAACCGGUCACCUUGGAGAUCGUGGACCGUGUUGUCACGGUUGAAGAGGAUCAUGAUCCCACCCUGGACCAGGAGGACCCAGUCCUUGUUCAGUUUGUGGAUGAGGAGGUUGGGCAGCGUCCCUGUCUGGCUUUAGUCCCUUGGUCUGGACCUCUGUGGGUUCCCAGCUCUCUGACUUAUUACCUUACCCUUGCUGGGAGGAUGAUAGUGAGAGAGCUGGCAGUGUUAAACACACAGAUUUUCAUGAUGGAGCAGCCUAUUUUCAUCUGUUUCAUUCCUGUAGGGAGGUUGGAGUGGGAGGAACUGUCUUCUCAAACUGAACAGUAUGUGGAUGAGGAGGUUCAGCAGCAGCCCGGUCUGACUUUAAUCUCUUGGUCUGGACCUCAGUGGGUUUCAAGCGCCCCUGUCAAACUGCAGCCAACAUAUUACCUUACCCAUGCUGGGAACACGCUGGUGAGAGAGCUGUCAGUAUUAAAUACACAGAUUUUCAUGAUGGAGCAGCCGAUUUUCAUCUGUUUCACUCCUGUAGGGAGGAUGGUGUGGGAGGAACUGACUUCUCAAACUGAACAGCCAAAUAGUGAAGACUCUGGUUUUCCCUUUGAGAAGAUGCAGCUGGUUGGGAACUGGGGUUCGUUUCAUUUCCAUACCUGGAUAAUCCGUUAUGGACGAGUGCAGCAAAACGAAGAGGACAUGCAUCACCUGUGCAUUGUGAGGGGAGUGGAGAAACAACUGUGGUGGAGCAGAGUCAUUCAGGAAAAAAUCCUGGACCCAUGGGGUAAUGUCCAGGUGGUCCUCACCAACAAGGAGGUGACUGGUAUUAAGUUCCUUGGUAGAAGGAUCCAUGGACUCAGGUCUUGCCUCGUCAAGAGGAGGUCAGAGUUCACCUAUUAUGAGGACGCCCAGCAGGUGGAUAUCUCCACCACAGUGGAGGGGUUCCAGGAGAGGGGGGAUGACAUGAUGACCUAUCAGUUCUCUACCUCUGACAUUAUCACCACCCC